UGUAAUUGAUCUCAAAUCUAACACAAAAAUUACAGGCAUUGAAGCUAUUACACCUCAUGUUCCUAGAUACUACUUCAAUUUUAUUGACUAUGCACAUAUUCUGACCAAGUCAAAAGGCUCCAGAAUUCUUACAGAUGUCCUUGGAAGACUUAAAGCAUUGCAGCCACUUGAACAAGUUAUGGUUUGUGGACAGACGCUCGAAAAUAAAAGAGAAUUCAUGCUUGAGAACAUUCGUGGUGAGGAGCUUCAUAUAACUCUUUGGGGUGAUAGUGCCAGAGAUUUUGAUGAACUCGCUCUUCAUAACCUACCAUCUCCGGUUAUCAUUGCGUUUGCUGGAUUUCGUGUCACAGAAUUUAAGGGAAAACCAAAUCUUAACAGUACAACCACCUCUCUUUGGUACUUCAAUCCGGACAUACCAGAAUGCUUAGCAUAUAAACAUUUCUUUGCACAACUACCCGUUGAAAUACAACAACUCCCUUCAUCAUCGAAUGUUGUUUAUCGAUAGAGGAACAAAUCAAAGAAAAUAGGAGAACAAUACAUGAGAUUCUUUGCAUGAAUCCUUAUGAGCACAAGCAUCUAAGAUUCACCUAUCAAGCUUCGAUUGUUGACUUUGAUUUCCCCAAUGGCUGGUGGUAUCCAAGCUGUCCAAAAUGCAACAAAAAACUUAGUGGGGGUGAAAAAAAUUACACGUGCAUGGAUCAUGAUGCUAUCACCUCUCUUCCAGUUCCAUGGUUUCGCUUAGAAUGCAUUGUUACCGAUGGAGAAGAUGUCACUAAUUUUCUUAUAUUUGGGAAAACUGCGGAGAACUUUUUUGGAUCAUCAGCCCACCAUUAUGUCUAUGAUAAAAAAUUUAUUGAUCCCUCAGUUCUUCCUCCUGCCAUGGCAGCAAAGUUGAACAAAAGCAUGAUUUUUCAGCUUCGAUUUGGUGCUUUCAGAUCCAUCACCAACAGAUGUGAGGUUAUCAUUACUAAUAUCUUUGACGACACCACAAAUAAGAGCAUCCAUCCUUUAGAAACACCAACUCCAGAACCUAAAUCAUCUGCUACAUCCAAGACAUCUACUCCAUUAAGCUCUAUGAAAUAGGUUCUCAUAGCUCCAUCAACUCCACAAAAUAAUGUCACACAACUCAGGAUUGCUCCUAAUUCCUUGGAGACACCACUUCAGAACAUAUCACCAAACAAGGAAACAAGCAUAAACAGUGAAGCACGACGUGCACUUGAUUUUGAAGCUGCAACACAGCAACUUAGUCAUGAAGAUGAGCAUGACAAAGCAAUUGAAGUCCAAGGAAACUUGGGAAACAUAGCUACAUCUGAGACAUUUGAUCACUCACUUCCACCUUUGAAAAAACAACGGACAACAUCCUCAUCAUCCUCAAAGGUUUGA